AGGGGAGGGUGUGUGCUUGUGAUUCGCUGGAGAAUGAGAUUCCAUUUGGAUUAACACACAUGAUAGAACUGACAGAACCUGAAGAACAGGGCUGGUGUAGAACUGCUGGCAGAUCAGCCAAUCAAACCUCAGUGGUAUAAUGCUGCCUCCUGCAAGAAGUGCUGUUUGAUAAUCAGGUGUGUCUAACAGGAAGAGGGAAGUACAAUUUCUCACAGGUAAAGCUUUGUGUUACACAAUGGACCUUUUAAAAAGAUUCUAAUGUAUGUUUUCCAGAAUUUAAUGAAUUUCAGAAAAAAAAUGUAUUGGAGGGAAAAACAAUGCGAGACUGAGAAGAAGAACAGAAAUUUGAGAGGAGGUUAAAGAGGCUGUUUUGCCUUCCAUUUGCAUAACUGCAGUAAGUGAAACUGAAACUUAAGCUACUGGAUUUAGCAGAAAUCAUUCCUGAGUUCAGAUCAGACUGAGACAGAAUGGCGUCUGGAUCUUCUCUCAUGGAAGAGGAGCUCUCCUGUCCUGUGUGCAUUGAAAUCUUCAGGGAUCCUGUUGUCCUGAGAUGCAGUCACAGCUUCUGUAAGGCCUGUCUGCAGCAGUACUGGGAACAGAAGGGAUCUCGGGAGUGCCCAGUGUGCAGGAAAAGAUUUAAGCAAGAACCUCCUCGUAACCUGUCCCUGGGGAAUGCCUCAUCUGAAGUGCUCUGCAGUCUGCACGGUGAGAAACUCAAACU